GAUGAACGCUGGCGGCGUGCCUAAUACAUGCAAGUCGAGCGAACGGACGAGAAGCUUACUUCUCUGAUGUUAGCGGCGGACGGGUGAGUAACACGUGGAUAACCUACCUAUAAGACUGGGAUAACUUCGGGAAACCGGAGCUAAUACCGGAUAAUAUUUUGAACCGCAUGGUUCAAUAGUGAAAGACGGUCUUGCUGUCACUUAUAGAUGGAUCCGCGCUGCAUUAGCUAGUUGGUAAGGUAACGGCUUACCAAGGCAACGAUGCAUAGCCGACCUGAGAGGGUGAUCGGCCACACUGGAACUGAGACACGGUCCAGACUCCUACGGGAGGCAGCAGUAGGGAAUCUUCCGCAAUGGGCGGAAGCCUGACGGAGCAACGCCGCGUGAGUGAUGAAGGUCUUCGGAUCGUAAAACUCUGUUAUUAGGGAAGAACAUAUGUGUAAGUAACUGUGCACAUCUUGACGGUACCUAAUCAGAAAGCCACGGCUAACUACGUG
rnacentral:rRNA from 1 species